UACAAAUUUCUGCCUUCAUCAAUAUAUUCAAUAUAUUAUUUGACAAUAACAGCAUACAAACAAUUUAAUUGUACAAUUUUUAUCAAGAAGUGCAGUAAUGGAGGUGAAGAAGUUUAACGUUGCAGCUCUUAUCUUGGUUUUUGGAUUGAUAUUGAUGCUAGGAAUUGGAAAUGUGAAAGAGGUGGGUGCGAAAAUCUGUCCCCGAAUUUGCUUCGCUGAUUUGGAUUACAUGACAUGUCCAUCAACAGGACUUAAAAAGCUUGCUCCUUCAUGCAGUUGUUGCGUGGCUCCUGCUAAGGGUUGCAUUAUUUAUUUUACUAAUGGCAAUAAACCCGUUGUUUGUUAAUUAAUCUUUCUCUCAUGAAGUAAUUGAAAUGGAUUAAUUAGGGUUUAUUGUUUUUUUUUAGUAAAAAUGGUAAGAUAUGAAUUUCCUCCCAAAGUAAAACAAAUAAAGUCCAUUUUUUGGACGUGUACCCUUCGUUGUAAUUCUUCGAUGCUUUUUUAACUUAAUUAAUGUUGCAAAUGAGAUAUUAAAAAACUCCAUAUUGACAUAAAUUAAAUAAGAUUUUAUAUGACUAUGUUUA